UGUGUGUGUGUGUGUAUGUGGUGGGGGUAGAGAAUUGCUAUUUCUUUCAAACUUUGAUUUUCUGAGAGUUAAGGAUUUCAGAUAGCACAGAUUCUAAAUAUAUAUGGAGAAAGUGACAAAAUUUUGAAAUGGUUUUGGGAAACAAAUGUCUGUGGUCAUAAAAAUCAUUUAUUUGUAUAUUUAUAUGUUGGAUGUUGGGCAUCCCUUUGGUGCAAUGAUGAAUACAGAUGAAGUGGAUGAUAUAUUUAUAAAUUCUAGAACAAAUUAUUAAAAACAAGGACUAUUACUAAAAGCAAGUUACUAUUACUAGUAACAAAUGAUGGUCCUCAAUGUUCUCAUCUGUAUGUUGGGUUGGUGGGUAUGUAAUAUUAAAAUGUUUGCCCUCAAGGUGUCUGGGUGGCUCCGUUGGUUGAGCGUCCAACUUUGGCUGAGGUCAUGAUCUUGCAGUUCAUGAGUUCGAGCCCCACAUUGGGCUCCGUGCUGACAACUCAGAGCCUGGAGCCUGCUUUGGAUUCUGUGUCUACCUCUCUCUCUGCCUCUCCCCGACUUGUGCUCUCUCUCUCUGUCUCUCUCUCUCAAAGUUAACUAAACAUUUAAAAACAUUUUAAUGAUAAAAUAAAAUAUUUGACGUCUGUGGUCAAAUGGUUGUUUAUCAAAGUUUCCCUGAAGCACAAUUUUCUCAGCUUCGAGAAAUAGAGGGGUGUAACAAGUGAAUUCGGUUCGAUUGUCUGGUUUUGGUUGAUUUCAAAUGUGCUUGUAUUGAAUGCUAACCCUUCUUCAAUUCAGCAACUAGCUUAUAUAUGAAAAUUAAACGUUUGGGGGGGAAUUUCUUCUAUUCAUUUUUAAACUUGUAGCUCAGCACUUAUUUGUAUUAAAUUUUCUUUCCCUCCUUCACUCACUUGCAGUAGAUUAAAGUGUUGAUCUUUUCUUUUUGAAAUCAUAGUUUGGUAAGUGGAUGUCUUUGCAAAUAGUAACUUAAUUUUCUCUCUGGGAGUUUGCAGUUUCCAACCUGCGGAGACAAACACAGAAACACCGUGCCACACAAGCAUUCUGAUAUGAAAUUUGGAAAACUGGGAUUGUUGAAAGAGCUAGGAAGCACAGAUUGCACUCCCUUUGGACAAAGUUCCAACGGAUGAAGAAUUGUUUUCUCACUGGAGUGGGAGCAGGACUGAUGACCUCACUGACCAUCUCCAAGCUGCUUUUGGGGGCAGAUGCCAUCAGGAGGGACUCUGGCUUGUGGAAAUACUAUGUUCUCUUCCUGCCUUCGGGUGACUGUACAAACUUAAAAAAAAAAAAAAAAAAAAAAAAAAAAAAAAAAGCCCAGGCUGCAGCUCCACACAGGGUGUCUAGCCAAAAUGCAAAGUUUUACCACAGCACACAAGUAGACAGUGUUUUUCAAGUGCGGGAACCGAGUGAGGUGCCUUUCAGCACCUUUGCCGGCACCUUCUUUAAAAAUGAUUUAAAUUGGAGGCAAUAGCAUCGAACGCUGAACAUCUGACAUUCAGACAAGACUUAACGAAUCAUACACUUUAACAUCAGUCUCCUCCAGCCACUUCACUUGGAGUCCAUGGUGGUUGUUUCUCCCCCCCCCACAAAAACAUUUGUUCUGCAGACCAUUUGCUGGUUAGAGUGUCCUGGGCAACUCUUCAUUCAUGGCAGGGAGAGCUGGUCCAAGAGAGACUGCAAACCUGAGCUCCUCCCGUGUCCAGUCUCUCCAGCUCUGGACUUCAGACUCAAGAGACAACAGUGGUCCUUCGGAACCCGACUUAGAACCACCUCGGUCUCUCCCCAGCGCGGUCUACUGCAGAGUAUUUAAGCUGCGCGACCAAAUGUCCCCAACCUACAACAGCCAGUGCUGUCAUUUGACUGAUUUGAAUCAAACUAACAAAAAAGCUAUGACUCUGUGGAUCGGAAAAUACCAGUGUUAGGGGGAAAAGACAACAAUUCUGAUAUUCAGGUUGGAGCAAAUCAUUAUCUUCAGUGUUGUUAUUUAAUCCUCUCCCCGUGGGGGUGACAGUAUGUCUCAUAGCUUGCCUGACAACUGCUAAGGACACAGGCAGCGUGGUCAAGGCUGCCCAGCUUCACCAAGGACCAUACGCUAUUGUCUCACACACCUUUUGGACGGGCUACCAAUUCAAUGCCAUUGGCAGAGAAAGUGGGAAGGGGGGGCAUUCCCUCGGGGCUGCAACGUAUGCAAACAAUUUAAUCUUCCAAUCCAAUCCUUAAUGUAAAUGUUUAAUAUAAACCUGAUGUUAACACGAUGUGCAUGAAUUUACUGGCCGGCAAAGCUGGGAUUUACAUCAUUCUGAAAAUCAGAUGUUCUUUGCAGCAGGGAUUGGGAAAACCUUUAAAUAUGGCAAGGUUUUCCCUCUGAAUGGCAGGUGCAUCCCUAACGCGCACAGGCCCAGGGCUCCCCCGGGGGACCGGGUGUUCACAGAUGCCAGAUCCCGUGUGCAAGUUAAAAGAUCCUCAGCUGUUGCUUUGUAUACCUCCCUGUGAAUGGCAGGUUACAUUCUAGACCGGUCACUGGCAAACUAAGGUCUAGGGGCCAAAUCAGGCCCACAGAUUGUUUGUCUUUUUAACAACUUUCAUGAAAUAUAAUUGAUAUACAAGAAAUAGCACAUAUGUAAUGUAUACAAUUUGGUGAGUUUGGACAUAAGCACACACCUGCGAAACUGUCACUACAAUCAAAGUGAUAGACGCAUCCAUCACCCCCAAAAGUUUCCUUGUGUCCCAUUGGGUUUUUUUUUUGUUGUUUUGGUUUUGUUCUGUUUCGUUUUGUUUUUGUACUUUGGGGUGAAGAACACUUAAUGUGAGAUCUACCCUCUUAACACAUUUUUAGGGGAAGGCAUUUAAUGGAAAUAAGUUUUGGUUAUGGAAGAAGAGUACCUUCUAGGGAUCUUCUGUAGAACACAGUGUCUGUCAUUAACAAUACUGAAUUGCCCACUGCCUGUUUUUGCAUGGUACACAAGCUAAGAAAGGGUUAAAGGGUUGAAAAGAAUAGAGAAAAGGGAAGGGGUACCUGGGUGGCUCCAUCUGUUAAGCUUUUGACUUCGGCUCAGGUCAUGAUCUCACAGUUUGUGGGUUCAAGCCCCAGGUCGGGCUCUGUGCUGGCAGCUCAGAGCCUGGAGACUGCUUGGGAUUCGGAUUUCGUGUCUCCCUUUCUCUCUACCCCUCCCCACUCAUGUUCUAUCUCUCUCUCAAAAAUAAAUAAGCAUUUAAAAAAAUUUUUAAACAAAGGGAAAUAGCAUUUUAUGACGUGAAAAAUCUAUGAAAUUCAAACUCUGGUCUCCAUGAAGUUUCAUCGGAACACAGCCAUGCUCGUUCAAUUAUGUGGGGUCUGUGGCUGUCUUUUCAACAUAGUCGUAGAGUUGCGUAGUUGUGGUGGUGACUCUAUGGCACAGAGAGGCUAAAAUAUGUACUCUUUGGCUCUUCGUGGAAGAAGUUUGCGGUCCCCUGCUCAAUGCAGUCUGCAUAGUGAUAAUGACAAUGGUGGCUAGCAAUUAUUGAUGGCUUCUUUACAUUGUGCCCACUGGAUGCAUACUGCCUGCCCCUUCAGCACACGGUGUGCAGUAUGUUAAUUUCCACAUAAACAAUUAUAUUUGCUAAGUGUUUGUGGGUUUGUCAUCCUUAUGGACCUUACCUUUGUUUACUUCUACGCCUCCAGAUUUGGACUUUUCAAAAUGUUAACAAUUAUCAGGAAGAAAUAAAAAUAGUAAUAGUUUUGUUUUUUUGUUUUUUUUUUUUUUUUACUCCUUCAAAUUUUGCCAUUGCUCCAGAUAUUUGAUGCUGGGUAAAUUAGGUAUUAAACAAAACUGGCUACUCAUCAGUAUGACCAGGGGAAACUUAGAAGAUGCCUGUACUUCAUGAAGCAGGGUCUGAGGAUGGAACCCAGAACUUUUGUUUGUUUGGUUUUCAUUUUUAGGCUUUACCAGUGAUGCUUAGAUUCAGCCUGAUUUGGGAAAAAACGGCCAAGAUUAUUAUUUUAUUGUACACCCUUCAGAAGGAUAAAGCCUGUAUUGUGAAUACCACCUGAUUGGGAACUCUUUGAGAGUAA